GUCGAGCGGACAGAUGGGAGCUUGCUCCCUGAUGUUAGCGGCGGACGGGUGAGUAACACGUGGGUAACCUGCCUGUAAGACUGGGAUAACUCCGGGAAACCGGGGCUAAUACCGGAUGGUUGUUUGAACCGCAUGGUUCAAACAUAAAAGGUGGCUUCGGCUACCACUUACAGAUGGACCCGCGGCGCAUUAGCUAGUUGGUGAGGUAACGGCUCACCAAGGCAACGAUGCGUAGCCGACCUGAGAGGGUGAUCGGCCACACUGGGACUGAGACACGGCCCAGACUCCUACGGGAGGCAGCAGUAGGGAAUCUUCCGCAAUGGACGAAAGUCUGACGGAGCAACGCCGCGUGAGUGAUGAAGGUUUUCGGAUCGUAAAGCUCUGUUGUUAGGGAAGAACAAGUACCGUUCGAAUAGGGCGGUACCUUGACGGUACCUAACCAGAAAGCCACGGCUAACUACGUGCCAGCAGCCGCGGUAAUACGUACGUGGCAAGCGUUGUCCGGAAU
rnacentral:rRNA from 1 species